GGGCCCUCAGCUAUGCCAGGUCUCCCAGACAACCUCCAAAGGCACCCCCUUCAGGCUCACCCCGCCCUCCUGCCGCCCCUCAGCCCCACGGACCCCGGCAGGCAUGUUGGGAGGAAUGUGGUCAUGUCUGGGGCUGCCUGACGCGUCCCAUCUCCCCAGACAGGUCCUAACAGCUCCUGCUGGAGGUUCCAACACUCCUCCUAGGAUCAAUGGCUCCCUGCAGGGAAGCGAUGCCUCCCUCUCCCCCCACCCUAACCCAAAGCAGAGGUCAGGGAGCUGCCCUCCCCGCCCCCUGCCACUGGGGCUCAGAAGACAAUGCUGAGACAGACACUCGAGGCUGUGGGCUCCACAAAACUGCCAUGCUGAGGACGCUCAAGAUCCAAUCCAGGAUUCCACUCACUUGUUGUCAUGUCUCCUGCAGUCUGUGACAGUCCCUCGUCGUCGUUCCUUGUCUUUUAAGACCUUGACGCUUUUGAAGCGUACUGGUCGGUUAUUUUGAAAAUAUCCCUCGGUUUGGGUUUUUCUGAUAUUUUCUCAACAUCAGAUUGAGGUGAUGCAUUUUGGCAAGAAAAGCACAGAAGUGUCGUUGUGGUCUUCUCAGUGCAUCAUCUCAAGCGUCCGUGUGUUGACGUGUCUUAGGGCUGGUGACAUUAACCUUGUUCAUUGGCUAAGGUGGGGUUUACUAGGUUUCUCCACUGUGAUAUUAUUUUUCUUGCUGAAACUAAUAAAUACUUUGAGGAAGAUACUUUGAGACUAUG